rnacentral:rRNA from 1 species
GACGAACGCUGGCGGCGUGCUUAACACAUGCAAGUCGAACGGAAAGGCCCCUUUGGGGGUACUCGAGUGGCGCACGGGUGAGUAACACGUGAGUAACCUGCCCUUGACUUCGGGAUAACUUCAGGAAACUGGGGCUAAUACCGGAUAGGAAUCCUUGCUGCAUGGUGGGGUUGGAAAGCUUCGGCGGUUUUGGAUGGACUCGCGGCUUAUCAGCUUGUUGGUGGGGUAGUGGCUUACCAAGGCCUUGACGGGUAGCCGGCCUGAGAGGGCGACCGGCCACAUUGGGACUGAGAUACGGCCCAGACUCCGACGGGAGGCAGCAGUGGGGAAUAUUGCACAAUGGGCGGAAGCCUGAUGCAGCAACGCCGCGUGCGGGAUGACGGCCUUCGGGUUGUAAACCGCUUUCAGCAGGGGCGAAGCUUGUGGUGACGGUACCUGCAGAAGAAGCACCGGCUAACUACGUG